AUGAACGCUGGCGGCGUGCCUAACACAUGCAAGUCGAACGGGACUAUCAAGUGAUGUUUCGGACUGAACUUUUAGUUAGUGGCGGACGGGUGAGUAACGCGUGGACAACCUGCCUCUCACUGGGGGAUAGCAGCUGGAAACGGCUGGUAAUACCGCAUGCGUUCAAUGUGCCGCAUGACACAUUGAAGAAAGAUUUAUCGGUGAGAGAUGGGUCCGCGUCUGAUUAGCCAGUUGGCGGGUAACGGCCCACCAAAGCGACGAUCAGUAGCCGGCCUGAGAGGGCGGACGGCCACAUUGGGACUGAGACACGGCCCAGACUCCUACGGGAGGCAGCAGUGGGGGAUAUUGCACAAUGGGCGCAAGCCUGAUGCAGCGACGCCGCGUGAAGUGAAGAAGUAUUUCGGUAUGUAAAGCUCUAUCAGCAGGGAAGAAAGGCCCGCAAGGGAGAUGACGGUACCUGACUAAGAAGCCCCGGCUAACUACGUGCCAGCAGCUGC
rnacentral:rRNA from 1 species